AUCGCCCUACGGGGCGCAGCAGUGGGGAAUAUUGCGCAAUGGACGAAAGUCUGACGCAGCGACGCCGCGUGAGGGAUGAAGGUUUUCGGAUCGUAAACCUCUGUCAGGAGGGAAGAAAGCGCAUGGCGCCAAUCAGCCAUGCGUUGACGGUACCUCCAAAGGAAGCGCCGGCUAACUCCGUGCCAGCAGCCGCGGUAAUACGGAGGAUGCGAGCGUUAUCCGGAUUUAUUGGGUUUAAAGGGUGCGUAGGCGGACGCUUAAGUCAGCGGUAAAAUUGCGGGGCUCAACCCCGUCGUGCCGUUGAA
rnacentral:rRNA from 1 species